GACGAACGGCUGGCGGCGUGCCUGACACAUGCAAGUCGUACGGUCCGUGAUUGAUCAAGCUUGCUUGAUUGGUCGUGGAUAGUGGCGGACGGGUGAGUAACGCGUGAACACCUACCCAUUGGAGGGGUACAACCCGUCGAAAGGCGGGCUAAUACCGCGUAAGCCGCGAGGUGAAAGGCUGCCUUUUGGUGGCUGCCGAUGGAUGGGUUCGCGUCCUAUCAGCUUGUUGGUGGGGUAAUGGCCUACCAAGGCGAAGACGGGUAGCCGGUCUGAGAGGAUGGCCGGCCACACUGGAACUGAGACACGGUCCAGACUCCUACGGGAGGCAGCAGUGGGGAAUCUUGGGCAAUGGGGGGGACCCUGACCCAGCGACGCCGCGUGAGGGACGAAGGUUUUCGGAUCGUAAACCUCUGUUGUACGGGAAGAAGGAUGUGACGGUACCGUACGAGUAAGCCCCGGCAAACUACGUG
rnacentral:rRNA from 1 species